ensembl:lncRNA
AUGCACAACAUAUAUGUUGGGUUGUGGAGUGGACCUAUCACCUGUGCAGAUAUGAGCAGAAAGCAUCAGAAUUUCUGUGCAAGCCAGGUGGAGGUGUGGGAUGGCGUCCUACUCUUCAAAACUUGGCUUAACAUUCAAAUCCUCUCUCAUAAGAUUCAACAGCCUUUGCAGUGGUGAUCCGUGGUAGUGUACGGUGCCAUUCCGGGAGGUAAAUAUAGGCUGUGUCGAAUCACACUGGCAUGUACGAGGUUUGACAUUUACGAGUGCUGAGAGAGUCGCAAGAGCCCCGGCUGCUAGACAGCUGGAAAUCAGUGCCAGCAUGCAAAACCUAAUAACAACACUGAUAUUUACUCUCUUUCUCUUUGCUCUUCCUCUGUCUUGAGUGUGUCCCUCUCUUCGAUUCCUUUGAUUUUCAUCUUUCCUCAUGGGGGCAGCACAUCUCCACAUUUGAUGAAAUCUGAUAAUCCUCUCAUGGCCCCCACACAGAGAUUCACUUCAUUCUUAUUUUCAUUUUUUUCCCCUCUGCACCUUCUCUCUAUACUCUUCUGAAAUCUUUUCUAUUUUUUUUUUUUUCCUUUUGUGGGGGGCCACCGUGAGUCAAGCUCUACUGCUUUACCAAUUCCAUCAAAAGGCUAAUCAACAAUCUCGGAGCGGGGCAGUACUCAGAACAGUCAUUCUUUCUGUGCCCAACUGGCAAUCCAGCAAAAGCAAGCAAGCGCUGCAGUAAUAGACCUUGAAUUACAAUUAAUCCUGCCUGGCUCGAUUUGCCAAUAGUAAUUCCAGUGCUGCGAGAGCAGGACCAGGUUCAGGCUCGGCUGGAGACUGCAGGGGUGGAGAAACAAGACAACCGGAGUGAGGGAGAAAGAGAACGAAUGAUUUAGAGCCAUGUUACCUGUCACUCAAGCAAAAAUUACAGCUCUUUUACGGCCUCGGCAAAAGACCGGGCCAUUAGUCUUUCAGGUGCUUAUUUUACAUUUGUCACUGUGUGUAGUCCAGCACCCAUAAAACAGAGUACAUUUUGAGAAUCUCUACAGUACCUGUGCUGUAGGUAUAAGUUGUUUGAUGUGCAGGCCAAGGCAGAGGGAAGAUGAGGAGGGUGUUGGGAAAGCUCUGAGCAGCAGGUUGGUUUCCUGCCAGGAGUCUGCUGAAGUGCCCAAGGUGCUCUCUGGUAUUUAGAUUAGGAGGCAAAGAGGGAUUUCAUUAGUUGUUUAU